ACACGCUCUGAGACAAGCUGACGGCCCCCCACACACAUCAGUGCCAGCCAGCCAGCCAUGACCAGAUAAGAAGAAAUGGAAUUCCUUAUCACAAAAAAAAAAAGAAGAAAACCCUGCAAAAGGUCAAGGAGCCAACUCGCUUCUGACACCAUAUCCAGUGUUCAAGGACAAAAGAAAAGAAUGCCAAAGCAGUACAGCAUUCUGACUUUAUCCUUCCUCCACACAUGCUGGUUUCCCUUAUCGAGUGCUUCCCAGGGGAUCCAUGACUGAGAGAGUAAGGCCUAGGGUUGGGAAGAUGAAGACAGUGGAUCUCUCCUGCCUGUGGAAAUCUCCUGCCUAACUUAAUUCAGGCUCACUCUUUAUCCCAAAAUUGGAAUAGUAGGCAACUAGCAGAAGAACUGAAGCUUCAGAUCUGAUUAUAGUCGCUGUCUUAAUGGAGUACUGCAAGGGUUAUUAACAUGGGAAAGGCAAUGCAGAGUUUCCCAUCCUCCUCAUUGCCUGGGAAAGAAGAAAAUAAAGAGAUGAGUUCAUGACUUCUAGGGCCAGAUGGGACCCCAACAGCCAUCUAAGCUCAACCCCCUGGAUAUGCAGGCUGUAGAAUUUCUCCCAGAAGGUGAAUGAAAGCAUAUUUUUAGAAAGAUCUUUAAUCUCAUUUUAACAACUCUAAGAAACAGUUAAUCCAACCAUCUGAUAAGCUCUUCCAGUGUUCAAUCCA